CCAUUUCAAGUUUACUUUUCUACUCUUAUUUUAAAUUUAAGGCAUGAAUAGCAAUUAAACAACCUAAAGAAAGGUUUUGAAAAUUUUACUCAUAGUUCUACUCCAGCAUCCACCAAUUUUCAUUGUUCUCUUUCCAGCCCUGGCCAGCAAUUUAGUUGAAAUGAUUUUAUAGCUCUAGUUUUUAUUCUUGCAUAACUAUCAUAAACACUUUUAUAGUUUAGUCCAUAAUAUUUUACCAUUGUCUUUUACACUGUUCCAUGUAUGAAUCAUAAUUAGGUAAAUACUCCCUUAUUGUGGAACACUAAAGAAAUAUGGAGUUCAGUUUUGGAAGGAUCUUGACUGAUCAUGGAGUGCUUUGGAGGGAUACCUCAGGCAAUAUGAAUGUUUUAGACAACUUUCAGCUGAAAUGAUUCUGGAGGUCAGGGGUCAGGGUUGCCUUAGCCAAAGGAAACCUUGUGUCUGUGAGGAAAGAGUGUCCUAGAAUCCUUACCCAGGCUCUGAGCUCCGCAGCCUUCUGAGGUCAGCCCUCAGGUGCAGACGGACCUCCAGCUUAGCUUUCCGUAGGGUGUGGGUCUGUGAAGUCCUCUAGGCACAGCCAGGCCAGGGUUUAUUGUCUUUAGUUCAUAGGGAAUUCACUUAGGGGAUUCUGUGUGUUGACCCAUAACUCAGCCUUGCCUAUGUUGAGAGCAGGAUGACUCACUGACCUCACUCUGGAGCCGUGUCUCCUGCCGCCACCACCCUGCUCAGCAGACGUUCGCCGGUGCUCCCUGAGGGCAAGGUUGGCUGGGGUGGUGACAGGUUUGCAACACUAUGGCCCUUCGUGCCCCACCCCCCUCACUCCUGAUGAAGGCCUGAUCACUACUUGAGACUCACUGAGUGGGGCCAUCCCAGCCACCUCUCCUAGGCCCAUCUUAGACGGUAUCCUCUGGACUCUCAGAGCAUGCAGCUCUGCCUUUGCUGUAACAGUUGUCACUGGUGUGGAGUCUCUACUACAGGCCAGGCAUUAAACCAGACACUUAAGAGCCAUCCUGUCCCCAUUCACCCAUUUUAUAGACUUGACAAGGUGAGGUAACAAGCUGCACUAACGUGGCUCCUGAGAGCCUCAGCAUAAAUAAACCCUGAAACAUACAAAUUCAUGAAGCAGUUACCCAGAGGGAGGCAGAGCGGAAGUAAGACUUUACUUCCCACAUACUUUAGUUAAUUAUUGCACCAUGGGAAUGUAAAAAGAACUUAAAAUUUCUUUUGAAAACAAAAGCAAGCUGCUCCCUAACAUGUGCUCCCCCUGUGCAUUCUCCCAAGGUCUUGCAGUGGCCAGUGCCCUGGUGGACAUUUCUCAGCAGAUGCCAAUAGUGUACAAAGAGAAGUCAGGAGCUGUGAGGAACCGGAAGCAGCAGCCGCCUGCACAGCCUGGGACCUGCAUUUGAUGCUGGGGCUGGGGACUCUCCGUGAGUGAGCUACUAGCAAACAGCUUCCUCCAGGCUCAGGCCAGAGGAAAGGAGUGACAGGAGAAAGAGGCACUCAGCUUAGAGCCAGUUACCAAGAGAGUCACGUGGAACUUCAAAGAAAUGCCUGCGUGUCACGGGAGAGCCUGUAUAUAAAUUAAAAUAGUCAUGAAAACAUUGAUAUGCUUGUACAUAACUUAUACAGUACUGCCCAGAAUGUUCAGACAUUCAGAGUGUACAUAAAACAGAAAACUAUCUUAAUGUAUUUUUAUUACGUGUAAUGGUGUCUGAGUUUCACCCAGUAUGUUUUGUGCCAUCUACUGGAUAUCCAAGUUCAGAGAGCUCCUCCUUAUAGGCCCUGUAAGUUCGAUAGCAAAGCCAAGAAAGGCAUCCCCCUAGUGCUGAUGUGCUCAAGUGCAUCUGGUACCAAUGGAAUAACUCCUAACUCAGAAAUCGUCUAACAGUACACGUAGGAAGAACCGGGCAUCUGGUCCCUUUACAGCAGUGUGUGAAGAGACUCGAAGGCAGCAGGAAUGUCUCUGUCACUGUUGUUGGCUCUGCAGUGCGUUGGGGGUCUUUCUGAUAGCCUCUUGGUGCUGUGGGUGGUGGCAGGGAUGACCCGUCUCAUCCUGAGAAAUGUUUCUCUUAGUGUCUUAAGUUCAAAGACUAUACCUAUAGAAAAAAGAUUUUCCAGAAAGGGGUCUUCCAGGCUGCAUUUUGAGGUGAUUUUGUCUAAACUUUUAAUGACCAUUUCCUAGGACUACAGUUCCCUAUACUGACAACUGGGGGUGGCUGGUUCAUUGAUAAAUAGUCAUGUCUGCACACGGAACUAACCCCACACGGCCUGGCCUAUCCACCUCCUACCCACUCCCUAAGCACAGUUUAGGGAGAAGUCAGCUUCCCUGUGAGCAUCACCCCUCAAAGGUGGGAGGAGGUGUGGGAAGAAGGCAACUCACACUCCGCUGAGCUAAGCCCGAGGAGAAGCAGCCCUGGACAGGAGGACUGUGAGCAAAAGGAAAAUAGUAGAGUAUCUCUGGGUGAAGCCUGAGGUGCCAGCUAGGAGCUGCACUGGGCGGCCUGAGACAGAUGAGAAGACCAGAGCACUGCUGGUAGAAAAAGAACUACCCUUCAGUGCAGAUCUCACUCCUUCAACUUUGUGGAGUGUGCUGGGGGUAGUGAUUCACUUCCUUGGGUGGUGGUGUCACUUCCGUGAGCACCUUUGAUCCUUCAGUGUCAUUUGUUUUUCCAGUCAUGCAACGGUUACUCACUAAGCACUUGCUAACAUCCAUGCUAGGGCAGUGACCAAGAUGGAAAGAAGCUCUUCAGAAUUACAACAGAACCCAGCUCCUCAAACCCCUCACCCCGGGAGAUCUUUCUCUAUAGUGGUUUCAGUGAGAAUUGGCCAUCCUGAGGACGGACCUGGGAAGGCAGAGGGUCUGUCCUCGGGCUGUGCACUGGCUCUCAGCUGGAAAUGUCUGCCCCAUUUCUCAAACUUAGUUCCAACCAUAAAAAUCAUCGUGAUGGUUUGCAGGUAGCCAGGCCCGCCAAGACACACUUUCCUAGAGUUGUUGAGACUAACACCCAUCCUGCAGGGCGAUGGCUGGGACUGGAGAGGAAAACAGGCGCCUUCUCUUUUAAAGGCAAUAAUGAAAUUGACUUUCAGUAACUGAAUUUGUGCACAAAACAUUCUAAAACACUAGUGAAGCCUGUUUUGUUGAACUAAUUCUGGCUCUGGAAAUGUUUUUGUUUUAUAGCUCUUAACGGUUUUUGUUUUCUUUUUGUUUUUGUUUUGGUUUGGAUUCAAGCUUAGUUUGUUAAUAUGUAUAAUUUAGCAUCUAUUGCACUCAUGUAAAUAUGGAGUAAGUAUUGUAAACUAUUUCAUUGCUGGGGACUGUGGGUGUUAUACAUACAUUUAGGACUGCAAUUUUUUGGUAUUUUUUGUAUUGUAAAAUAACAGCUAAUUUAAGCAGGAACAAGAAAAUUAAGGGAGGUCUGUGCGUUUUAAACACAAAUGUGAAGAACUUGUAUAUAAACAAAAGUAAAUACUAUAAUACAAACUUCUGAAAUAAAAGUAGAUCUGGUAAAAA